rnacentral:rRNA from 1 species
AGUGAACGCUGGCGGCGUGCCUAAUACAUGCAAGUCGAACGGAGUGGCGCACGGGUGGGUAAUGUAUAGCUAAUCUGCCCUACACUAGAGGACAACAGUUGGAAACGGCCGCUAAUACUCGAUAGGGGAGGAUGUGGCUAUAUUGUAUCAGAUAGUUGGUGAGGUAAUGGCUCCCCAAGGCUAUGACGCAUAACUGGUCUGAGAGGAUGAUCAGACACCCUGGAGCUGGGAAACGGUCCAGACUCCUACGGGAGGCAGGAGUAGGGAAUAUUGCUCAAUGGGGGAAACCCUGAAGCAGCAACGCCGCGUGGAGGAUGACACUUUUCGGAGCGUAAACUCCUUUUGUAAGGGAAGCGGUACCUAACGAAUAAGCACCGGCUAACUCCGUGCCAGCAGCCGCGGUAAUU